rnacentral:misc_RNA from 1 species
AAAAAAAAAAAGAAAUCGUUGAUGUAUUUUCAAAUGGUUAGAAUUGCAAAAAAAUUCAAUUGAAUCUUAGAUUUGUCUUCACUUAAUUUUGAUUUGCAUGUGCUGUUUCGAUUUUUAGAAGUCUGAAUCUAGUUGAAUUGUAUGAUUUAUUUGUGUUUUUGUAAGUUUAUGAUUAAACUAUGAAUAUUUUACUAGAAAAAGAAAAGGUCCUGUUUUACUUCUUUACAUUAUUAAAGGAAUAAAAACACCAAUGGUUUCUUGAUUUUUUAAAACUUGACAAUUCAGUUUUCAAACCUUUUUUUUCUCAAUAAAGUUUUUGAAUAGAGAAAUUUAUUUCAUUAAGUGCAUUUGGCCGAUUUUCUUGCCCAAAUAUUUGAAAUUGACCCCUAUAAACAAUAUUACUUUCUCUCUCCUUUUUCCUAACAAAAUUCAAUUUUUUCUCUCUACCAACGUAAAAAUAAAUAUUAAGUUAAACACACUGAAAUUGUUUGAAAAUUAACACCUCAAUCUAUACAAAUAAAUAAAUAUUCGUUUAACUCGUGUGGUUUCCAAGAAAAUGAAAGAAGAAAGGCUCAUCAUGUUUUCAAGAAAAUGCAAUAAAAGUGAAUGUAAGUUCUGUUACAUGAGAAAGAAAAAUAAAGAAAAAAAAUAAUCAAAUGAUGAUUCUUGACUAUAUUUAAUUCCUCAGUUAUGAUUUUUUCUUUUUUAAAUGUUGGUGAAGAUAAAAGGAAAAUAAAUUGAAUUUUGAUAAGGAAUGAGAGAACGUAAAAUAAAGAGAGAAAGGAGGGAGUGGUAGAGAUAAAUGGGUGGAGGGGUAAAAAAUACUAUUUAGAAGGAUAAAAUGGUCCAUUUUGGUAUUUCAGCUAGUAAAUUCUGCCAAAUGCACCUAAUUGAAAAAAAUUUUCCAUUCUGGCACUUGAUUGAUAAAAAAAAGAGUUAAAAGAUUACCCCAUUUUGAAAAGUUCAGACACCACUGAUGUGAUUAUCUCUUAUUAAAAUCAUGUGGAAAUCAUCUGGGCCUUCUAAAUGGUAUGCCUUCUGCAUGUCAUUCCACAGAUCACAUGCGUGUAAUCUUGUUCCAGCAAGUCAUUCCCUGCUGCCAUGAAAUAUUUUUGUUUGAAUAUAUGCUCAUCCUAUCAUCUUUGAACAUGCAAUGCGGACUUAGUAUCUUCUGAUAAAGUGUGUCAUUUACCAUUAAUCUCACACUUGACAGUGCUGAUUAUUUAGGGAAAAUUACUAUUUAAUCUUUUUAUUUUAAUGAAAUUAACUAUUUG